rnacentral:rRNA from 1 species
GACGAACGCUGGCGGCGUGCCUAACACAUGCAAGUCGAGCGGAGGUACAAUGAGAGCAAUCGAGAUGUACUUUAGCGGCGGACGGGUGAGUAACGCGUGAGCAACCUGCCUAUCACAGGGGGAUAAGGCGGCGAAAGCCGCUCUAAUACCGUAUGAGACCCUCAAAGCGAUGCAAUGGGGGUGAAAGGAGCGAUCCGGUGAGAGAUGGGCUCGCGUCCGAUUAGGUAGUUGGUAGGGUAAGGGCCUACCAAGCCAAUGAUCGGUAGCCGGCCUGAGAGGGUGAACGGCCACAUUGGAACUGAGAGACGGUCCAAACUCCUACGGGAGGCAGCAGUGGGGAAUAUUGGGCAAUGGGCGGAAGCCUGACCCAGCAACGCCGCGUGAGGGAAGAAGGUUUUCGGAUUGUAAACCUCUGUUCUUGGGGAAGAGGAGGAGACGGUACCCAAGGAGGAAGCCCCGGCUAACUACGUG